UGGCUUAUUAGGGUCUGUUUUUCAUAAAGUGUCACCAAAGUUCUUCUUUUCCUCAUAAUGUUGCAUUAAAGUGUCGUGGCUUUUGCUCUAAAACUGAUUUCUGAUGACGUCUAUGUUGUCUUUUGUUCCAGGCGGGCAGUAUUUGCGUCAUCAUCUUGUUCCUCAUUUUAGGGCUGAUUUAUGACUGCUGCAAAAAGCAGUGACCGCAGGGAAGGUCUUUGAAGCAGCAGACCUCUGCAGCUACGACUGAGAAUGCAGGUCAGAGUCUGCAUUCCUGACUGUGAUACGGAUUGAAAGUUUAGAGUCUCAACGUUCCACAAAAUACCUCCACCUGUUUCAACCAGAUACAAGCUACAAGCUAACUGUGACUUCCAAGGAUAAACUGUGAACACAUGACAAUUGAAUCAGAGCAUUACUGUUAACUUCUGUUACUAUAUCAUCUUUUAAUACUUUACAUUUUGGGUUCGCUGUUACAGACAGAUCAUUUUACAGUUGUUCUUUUAAAUAAUUUUGCAUGACCUUUUACAACCCCAUUUCCAAAAAAGUUGGGAUGCUGUGCAAAAUAUAAAUAAA